rnacentral:rRNA from 1 species
UACGGAGGGUGCAAGCGUUAUCCGGAUUCACUGGGUUUAAAGGGUGCGUAGGUGGGCAGUUAAGUCGGUGGUGAAAUCUCCGGGCUCAACCCGGAAACUGCCAUUGAUACUAUCUGUCUUGAAUAUCGUGGAGGUAAGCGGAAUAUGUCAUGUAGCGGUGAAAUGCUUAGAUAUGACAUAGAACACCAAUUGCGAAGGCAGCUUACUACCCGAAUAUUGACACUGAGGCACGAAAGCGUGGGGAUCAAACAGG